CAUUUUUAAUAAAAUAAUUCAUGCAAGAUAAGACAAUAUUUAUGAUAGGAUAAAAUAUUAAUGUUCAAGCCAUUCAGAAUGUACGGACUUUUGUUUUCUUCUUACUUCUCAGGCUGAUAAGUUUUUAGGUUAUGUUAUUUCUUUUUUGAGCGGUUAUUUGAUAUCUGUUUUCGGUUGUAAGGUAGGCUUUUUUUUUAAAGUAAAGUUUUUGCUAUAGCAAACCACAUCAAUUGCAUCUUCAAAAAAUAAAUAAUUUUUGACAUAAAAGAUGACCCUUAUUUUACUCUCUUCAAACAAGAUGUUGAAAGUUGAAUGUUACAAGUUUACUCAUCACACUAUAGAAGGUAAUGAGAAUUUGACCUACCCUACCAGAGGCUGAGCAGAACACAAACUGGCCUUGCCCACCUCCUGUCUGUGAGACUCUUCAACAAGCUGCCAAUAGCAGCAAGAGACCUAUCGACCAGGCGAUUCAAGGGCGCAUUGAGGGGAUUGCUGGUGUAGAACCCUUUGUAUUCCAUCAAUGAGCUCUUUCUGUUGUACAACAACCUGGUCAAACCCGAAAUUCAUGAAGAUAAUGAAUCCGAAGAAUUGGAGUUUGUUAUAGAUCAAGGGUUAAUGGAUAUGAUGGAAAUAAGAAUGAGACACACGCAGGAGUUGAGUGAGUAUCAAUGUUAUUUGUUUCAUAAGUGAAAUCUCCCAAUAGCGGACACCUCUGUGGAUUAGUAAAAUGUCCGCUAUAAAGAGUUGUCCGCUAUUGAGAACUUGUGUUCAUCCACUUUUUUAUAUAGAGAAGGUAAUGAGAAGGUAUAGAAUGAUGCAACAUCUUCUAUCUUCGCUAGAAUAUGAUGCAAAAUAC